CAGCCGCCGCGGUAAUACGGAGGGAGCUAGCGUUGUUCGGAAUUACUGGGCGUAAAGCGCACGUAGGCGGUUAUUCAAGUCAGAGGUGAAAGCCCGGGGCUCAACCCCGGAACUGCCUUUGAAACUAGAUGACUGGAAUCUUGGAGAGGUCAGUGGAAUUCCGAGUGUAGAGGUGAAAUUCGUAGAUAUUCGGAAGAACACCAGUGGCGAAGGCGACUGACUGGACAAGUAUUGACGCUGAGGUGCGAAAGCGUGGGGAGCAAACAGGAUUAGAUACCCCAGUAGUCCCUGUCUCUUAUAC
rnacentral:rRNA from 1 species